UUUUUGAUCCUUCGAUGUCG
rnacentral:snRNA from 1 species